CUAGCUUGGCAGCGUUCCUCGGGUGUUAUCGGACUAUCAGGGUGCGACGUCGCUCCGUCAGCCACCUGCCUGGACGCCCAGCAGGGGAGGGAACUCGGGGGGGCGCGCGGUACCUGCCUCUCGUUCCAGCCGUCGCCGGACUGAGGCCGUUCUUGGAGUAUUUCUAGGGCAGGAUGGUUCUCCAGAAGCCAUUGCCUCGGCGACGGAGGAGGAGGAGGAGCUGCGGGGGGAGGAUGUUGGGAGGAGAGGGGUCGCGGCGGCGACGGCGGCGGCCGAGAAACAGCAGCAGCAGCAAGAGGCUCCGGAAGAGGAAGGAGUUUAGGAGGCUCAAGAUGAGGGGAGGGGGCGGCGGAGGUGUCGGUAGGUGGCGGGGAUCCGGCGGAAACCGACCGCGGUGGUGAUGCGGCAGCGUCUCGUUCUUGCGGUAAGAUCACUCGUUAUCCGUCUUUCCCUUGGGUAAUGACUUCGUGUAGUCCUUACGCUCCACCUGCAAGCGACUGUAGCAAGGCCUGAUGCACUAACCCGUUAGUAGUACGCGUGAUAUGUAUUCAGAGUCCAUGGUAGAAGAAGUGGGUCUGAUGAACAUGAUAGCCUAUUCCCUCGAGGUUUUCUUAAAGUUUGAGGCACAGUAGAACACGGUAUAACUAUAACUUCUACAUCAUUUCGGAAAUGUACUUCAGUGUUCCUGUAGUGACGACGUACUGACGUGGGAAGACACACCAACCUCAGACCUCCUUACACCGUCCAUGAACCUCUGAUAAUUUCACAAACUUUUGUUCGGUCGACUGUCGUAAGCGCUCGUGUGUCUAUUACUAAUAAAUAGAGCCAAGUGAGUACGAGAAUGUAGCUAGGCCGCACAAUUGUUUUGUCUACAAUAGUGUGAACCAAGCAGAAAACCCAGUGAAAGGGCUUAGUACCUACGAAGAUACCUUCUUGAUCGAGCAACAGGUCCUUAACCGCUCGCCUUCCAUUUCGCUGAAGUACUAUGAAAAGUACUCGGUAAAUUUGCUCAAUGCGGGGCGGGUUUGGAGCAUCAUGGACUAUGAGGGCUGUCUCUCUUUCACAGACCAGUCGGAAGUAGCUGGUUGCUACCGUGCGGCCUUUUCGGUCCGUGAAGGUUCUUGUUCUUUCCGGGACUACAGUUUAGCCGGGAAUGACGACGUAAACGUUUCAUGAGUCUUUUCUAGGCGUCAGUCCCGGCGCUCCGCCGGGUACUCCGACCACUUCCAGGAUCGUCGAGUUGGUACCUUCCACUGUUCUGUUUUGUUAAUCUAAUCGUCAUCCUUCCUCAUCCUUCACCGUGCACGUCCACAUGACGACAACAACAUCGACGUUUUAAACGAAGGAGACAAAUAACGAGGAUUUGUUCCCACUUAAAACGUAACAUGACUAACAACAACAUCACAUCCGGAAGGGAAAAGAGUCGUUCCCAACCUAAAACGUAACAAUACGACCGGAGGAGAAAGGACAGUUGUGUUAAAUCGGCUAGAAGAGAAAAAAAGACGGAACCUCUUGAGAGUCUCGGUAGGUUUUCAUGUGGCCUUUUACAUUAGACAUAAAACACUAUUUGUAACGGGUACGAAGCAACAAGAACAA
rnacentral:rRNA from 1 species